CUGUCGGAAGGGGAAAGACUAAAAAGACGGUACCCUCCAAGAAAGGCCCCGGCUAACUACCGUGC
rnacentral:rRNA from 1 species